rnacentral:rRNA from 1 species
UACAGAGGGGGCAAGCGUUGUUCGGAAUUACUGGGCGGAAAGGGCGCGUAGGCGGCCUUCUAAGUCGAACGUGAAAUCCCCGGGCUCAACCCGGGAACUGCGUCCGAUACUGGAAGGCUUGAAUCCGGGAGAGGGAUGCGGAAUUCCAGGUGUAGCGGUGAAAUGCGUAGAUAUCUGGAGGAACACCGGUGGCGAAGGCGGCAUCCUGGACCGGCAUUGACGCUGAGGCGCGAAAGCCAGGGGAGCAAACGGG